UGAUUAAGAGAAAAUAAAGAAAAGGAAAUUCAAAAAGCUGUGUUCUAUAUACGAGUACGAGAUUACCUUCCCCCGGCAAAAGUAAUUGUUCCAUAAAAGUUUAGGCGUAGAAAUACGCUACAAAGCUAAGUUCACGUGAUAGCGUAACAAUACUUUAUUUUAUUCUACAUAUUGCGGAGUGAUAGACUGCGUUAUACUUGUUAAUUUUUUUACUUAUUAAAAAAAUAACCUUAUAAUAUGAAUCGACCCGCUGGCACUCGUACCGCAUGUGAUCGAAUUAUGAAAAAUACGUGCGACUUAGCCAUAAAUCAAAUCACUUGAAAUAAAAAUAAGAAACUAUAAUAUAAUUUUAUUAUAACUAUUCAAAUAUAAUUUUUAUUAACAAAGACGUAGAGUUUUGCUCCUACAAACGCGGACUAUUGCAGGAAACGUCUGAUCUGGAGAACGGUCUCUAUGUGAAUAAUAAAAGUGUUUCAAUAAAAUGCAAUCACCAAGAAAAACAAAACACGUAAAAGACAUGAAAAUCGUAAUCAGCGCCAACCACGUUCAAACAGAAUUGCCAACCUCACAGAGUCAUACACACAUACACAACAACACAAACGAAUCUCCGCUCUGCCAUCUAGGGAUAAUGUGGAAAUUAAUUUGUCCCUACAUAGAUCGUGGAACGCAACAUUACAUUAAUUUAACAAAAACGAUGCUUAUCUUCAGUAUUUAAAGAGACUAAUGAUAAGGCACUUUUGCAGACGUGGACUUGUGCGCGUUUGUAUUUAGUGUAUAUGUAUAGGAAGUGCUGUAGAGCGUGUAUAUGAAUGAGUGUAUUAUAUAGAGUACUGUCGCGUUGACAGUUUAAUUAAUUAAAUUAACUGAAGACGUUAGUUUUCUUUAGUGUUUAUGCUAGCUACUGAUCAUUUAACGUAUACCAAAGUAAUUUAUUUUCUACUGAAAUGUACGUUUCAUGAUAAUCCGAGAAAUAUUAAUUUAAUAUUGGUUCAACGUGUCGACACAUUCUUACUUUAAGGUUAAAAGGGUGUGGCAGGACAGAUGGUACAACCAAGCAGAGGGUGAUACUACAUGUAAAAAUAAAUCGAAAAAAGGAAUAAUAUUUUUUCAUUCAACGCUUUGUUUUCAUGAAAAUCGAAUUUGAAAAUUCUAUCCAGUACGUGUGCACUAGACUGUGUCCUCAAGUCAUUGCCCGCUACAAGUUUCCUUUUGCUUACAUGUUGUAAUGUUGACCUUUCUAAUGUUUACAUUUCGUCUUCAGCCAUACGACUUUCUUCUACUUUUAGUCUGUUUCGAUCAGUCAAGCUGUGACAAUGUCUACUUAUAGCAACUGCGAGUACGUCAAAAUGAUAAAAGCAUUAGAAGCUUGUCAUGGAAAUGCAACAGCAGCAGUUUAACAUUACAGGCAACAAUUUCUAAAAUGCAGAAAUAAGUGAGAAUUCUCUCAAGCUGAAGGAAAAAAUAAUAAAUGCUUUUAUUCAAAUAAAGUGUCGAUAUUCAUUGGCGUCAGUUCAUGACUCAUUAACAAGGCAAGCAAUGAUAUGUACGCAUCAACAAGGACAGCACUUUGAACAGUUUAUUCAAUAAUGUUACACAAUUAAUGUUAGAAGUAUCAAUAAAAUUAAUAAAAAUUAAUAAAAUUAAUAUUUCUUAUUUAUAAUACAUAUCUAAACUUAGAAGCGGUAUAGUGAACAUAUACUGGAUGGAAUUUUCAAACUCGAUUUUCCUCAAAAAGAAAGCGUCAAACGAAAAAAUGUUAUUCUAUUUUUUUGACUUAUUUUUACAUGUAGUAUUACCCUCUACUCUGUUGUACUAACCGGCCUGCCAAACCCUGUAUAUCUAUUUGUAUUUAUUAAGAAUUAGAAUUUUUCGAUACCACUUAAUGAAAGUGAAUAGCAUCUAUAUAAUUCAAAGGUUUACUCAAAUAGGAGUAUCAAAAGUGUGGCUAAAUCAAAUUUUAUUUGUGAUGGGUUCUUUGAUUGCUUACGGAAAAAAUAUUAUGUGUUAAGUUUCCAGUCUGUGUCACAAUUUCAUGGGUACCAAAAGGUAGAAUUGAAAAUUAUGUUUCUGAUUGAUUUCUUUUACAGUAUUACAUGAAAUUCUUUUAAAAAAUCACAGACAUUUGGGAUAAAGAAGUACACAUUACAUAGUUUUUCACAUUCUUUAUUGAAAAUCCAUGUUGUGAAAAAUAAAAAAGACCAAAAAAAGUGAAUAAUGCUAGUGUUGUAAAGAAACUGUUAAGACACUAUAAUUGUAUCAUUACAAAUAUUCACUAUAUACACAUGUAAAAUACUUGUCACAUUUAUUCUGAUACAUUAUAGUUCGCGUGACAAUUAAUUAUGAGCAUUUUUCCAAAUUUAAUGUUGCUAAUUGGUGGCGUUUGUCUGUCAAAAUUAAUUUAUUUGCGGAGAAUGAGCGCUCUACGCCAUACAAAGUAAUCGGUGCGUAUUUAAAUUUACUCCAACAUUGAUCUGGCACACUUAUUGGUCCUUGACGCACUCGUUAUUUAAAAUACUUGAAAUCGUCGAUAAUGUAGAAAAUGCUAUAUUCUUUUCUAAAGUAAUAUUACAUUUUUUUCUAAUUUUUUCACCGCAAUCACCAGGAAUAUUUUUUAAAUGUAUUAUACUAUUCAUAUAUAUUCCGAAUUAAUUUUGCGAUAAAUACUUCUGUCAUCGUUAUCAUUAUUAUCGUUGUCAUUAAUAACACAAUUGGAAUCCAUUAUGAUCUAACUUAGUAUUAAUGGUUUUCUAUUUUUUCUAACUUUUGGCAGUUUUUAUAACACUACAAGACACUUAAAUGUCUUCACUUUUACAUAGAGAUCACAUUAACUGCGAAGUAUUCGAAUUGAACUAAUUGAGACUAUGCCAUAAAAGUUACAUUCUAAUGUAUCUACAAUAGCUAUUGUUCUCAAUAGCAUCUAUAGCAAAGCAUCAAAGUAUCUGACUACUGAACUGUGCAACAUUUUUAAACUUAAGUGUGGGUCACACUUACACUAAUUUUUUUUUAAUUUCUUAUGUAUUUGUUUUAAUACUUGGCACAUAACAAUAAUCAAUAUAGUUUUAUGAAUAUUUGAAGGAUAUUUAAAAAAUAUUUCAAUCUAGCUAACGUAUACAUCAAAAUAAGUUUAGCGCAUUGUGUUAUGUUAUUACUUUUUGUAUUAG